UACGUAGGUGGCAAGCGUUGUCCGGAUUUAUUGGGUUUAAAGGGUGCGUAGGCGGUCCUAUAAGUCAGUGCUGAAAUAUCCCGGCUUAACCGGGAGGGUGGCAUUGAUACUGCAGGACUUGAGUAGAGUUGAGGUUGGCGGAAUUGACGGUGUAGCGGUGAAAUGCUUAGAUAUCGUCAAGAACACCGAUAGUGUAGACAGCUAACUAAGCUCUAACUGACGCUGAGGCACGAAAGCGUGGGUAGCAAACAGG
rnacentral:rRNA from 1 species